GACGAACGCUGGCGGCGUGCUUAACACAUGCAAGUCGAACGGAAAGGCUCCAGCUUGCUGGAGUACUCGAGUGGCGAACGGGUGAGUAACACGUGGGUAAUCUGCCCUGCACUCUGGGAUAGGCCUGGGAAACUGGGUCUAAUACUGGAUAUGACCUUUCUCCUUAUGGGGUUUGGUGGAAAGUUUUUCGGUGUAGGAUGAGCCCGCGGCCUAUCAGCUUGUUGGUGGGGUGAUGGCCUACCAAGGCGACGACGGGUAGCCGGCCUGAGAGGGUGAUCGGCCACAUUGGGACUGAGGUACGGCCCAGACUCCUACGGGAGGCAGCAGUGGGGAAUAUUGCACAAUGGGCGGAAGCCUGAUGCAGCGACGCCGCGUGAGGGAUGACGGCCUUCGGGUUGUAAACCUCUUUCAGCAGGGACGAAGCGUAAGUGACGGUACCUGCAGAAGAAGCACCGGCUAACUAUGUG
rnacentral:rRNA from 1 species